AAUUUCGGCCUCGCAGGGGACAGCGGGACAGACUGCCUGAAAGCGGGACUGUCCCGCCUAAAGCGGGACGUAUGGUCACGUUAUUUAUACCGGCUGCCGCA